rnacentral:rRNA from 1 species
ACUACGGGUGGCUGCAGUGGGGGAUAUUGCACAAUGGGGGGAACCCUGAUGCAGCGACGCCGCGUGGGUGAAGAAGCGCCUCGGCGCGUAAAGCCCUGUCAGCAGGGAAGAAAAUGACGGUACCUGAAGAAGAAGCCCCGGCUAACUACGUGCCAGCAGCCGCGGUAAUACGUAGGGGGCAAGCGUUAUCCGGAUUUACUGGGUGUAAAGGGGGCGCAGACGGCGAGGCAAGCCAGGAGUGAAAGCCCGGGGCCCAACCCCGGGACUGCUCUUGGAACUGCGUGGCUGGAGUGCAGGAGGGGCAGGCGGAAUUCCUGGUGUAGCGGUGAAAUGCGUAGAUAUCAGGAGGAACACCGGUGGCGAAGGCGGCCUGCUGGACUGCAACUGACGUUGAGGCCCGAAAGCGUGGGGAGCAAACAGGAUUAGAUACCCUUGUAGUC